rnacentral:rRNA from 1 species
UGCAAUGACGGGUAGCGGGACUGAGACACUGCCCGGACCUCCACGGAGGGCUGCAGUAACGAAUAUUGGGCAAUGGGCGAAAGCCUGACCCAGCGACGCCGCGUGUAGGAGGAAGUCCUUCGGGAUGUAACCUACUGUCAGGGGGAAGAAAGUGCGCUCCGGCGUAUUGACCUAACCCAGAGGAAGUCACGGCUAACUUCGUGCCAGCAGCCGCGGUAAGACGAAGGUGGCAAGCGUUGUUCGGUAUUACUGGGCUUAAAGCGUGUGUAGGCGGAAACUUAAGCGUUUUGUGAAAUCCCUCGGCUUAACCGAGGAAUUGCUUGACGAACUGGGUUUCUUGAGGCAGGUAGGGGUGCACAGAACUCUUGGUGGAGCGGUGGAAUGCGUAGAUAUCAAGAGGAAUGCCGGUGGAGAAGUCGGUGCACUGGGCCUGUCCUGACGCUGAGACACGAAAGCGUGGGGAGCGAACGGGAUUAGAUACCCCGGUAGUCCACGCUGUAAACGAUGCCUACUAGGUUGUGGUGGUUCUGACGCCAGCACAGCCGAAGCUAAAGUGUUAAGUAGGCCGCCUGGGGAGUACGGUCGCAAGGCUAAAACUCAAAGGAAUUGACGGGGGCUCACACAAGCGGUGGAGCAUGUGGAUUAAUUCGAAUCAACGCGCAGAACCUUACCUGGGUUUGACAUGCUUGGAUGCCGCUCUGGAAACAGAGUUGGCUGCCUUCGGGUGAAACUUGCACAGGUGCUGCAUGGCUGUCGUCAGCUUGUCGUGAGAUGUCGGGUUAAGUCCUUUAACGAGCGAAACCCUUGCCGUUAGUUGCCAGCGAGUAAUGUCGGGGACUCUAACGGGACUGCCGGUGUUAAACCGGAGGAAGGUGGGGAUGACGUCAAGUCAUCAUGGCCUUUAUGCCCAGGGCCUCACACGUGCUACAAUGGUCGGAACAGAGCGACGCAAGACCGCGAGGUGGAGCAAAUCGCAAAAAUCCGGCCUCAGUUCUGAUUGCAGGCUGGCAACUCGCCUGCAUGAAGGUGGAAUCGCUAGUAAUCGCGUAUCAGCUAUGACGCGGUGAAUGUGUUCCUGAGCCUUGUACACACCGCCCGUCAAGUGAUGGGAGUUGGGAGUACCCGAAGUCGUUUUGCUAACCCCGCAAGGGGAGGCGGAUGCCGACGGUAAGCCCGAUGACUGGCACUAAGUCGGAACAAGGUA